GACGAGGACGCCCGCCAGGGCAACGCCACGGCGCACCGGAAGGCGUUCCCGGUGCUGUCCUUCAACUACGAGCACGUCCGGAAGCCCUUCGAGAUCUCGCUGUGGAUCCUACUCGCUCUGCUCAUGAAACUCGGCUUCCACGUCAUCCCGCGAGUGUCCCGCGUGGUGCCCGAGAGCUGCCUGCUGAUCUUCGUGGGGCUGCUGGUGGGCGGAGUCAUCAAGGCCGUCCGGCGGACGGCGCCCGUGCUGGACGCCGAGCUCUUCUUCCUCUACCUGCUGCCGCCCAUCAUCCUGGACGCCGGCUACUUCCUGCCCGUCCGGCCCUUCGCCGAGAACCUGGGCGCCAUCCUGGCCUUCGCCGUGGCGGGCACCUUGUGGAACGCCUUCUUCGUGGGCGGCGGCGUGUACGCCGCGUGCCGGCUGGAGGGCGAGCGGCUGGCCGACGUGGACCCGCUGUCCUGCCUGCUCUUCGGCUCCAUCGUGUCGGCCGUGGACCCCGUGGCCGUGCUGGCCGUCUUCGAGGAGAUCCGCAUCGACGAGCUGCUGCACGUGCUGGUCUUCGGCGAGUCGCUGCUCAACGACGCCGUCACCGUGGUGCUGUACCACCUGUUGGAGGAGUUCUCCCACGCCGGCGCGGUGACGGCGACCGACGCCCUGCUGGGGGCGCUGUGCUUCUUGGCGGUGUCGUGCGGCGGCGUCCUGGUGGGCGUGGUCUACGGGCUGCUGGGCGCCUUCACGUCCCGCUUCACGUCGCGCACGCGCGUCAUCGAGCCGCUCUUCGUCUUCCUGUACAGCUACAUGGCGUACCUGUCGGCCGAGGUCUUCCGCCUGUCGGGCAUCAUGUCGUUGAUCGCGUGCGGCGUGGUGAUGCGUCCGUACGUGGAGGCCAACAUCUCGCACAAGUCCUACACCACCGUCAAGUACUUCCUGAAGAUGUGGAGCAGCGUGAGCGAGACGCUCAUCUUCAUCUUCCUCGGCGUGUCCACCGUGGCGGGGCCGCACGCUUGGAACUGGACCUUCGUGGCGGCCACCGUGCUCCUCUGCCUCGUCUCCCGAGUGCUCGGCGUGGUGGGCCUGACGUUGCUCAUCAACAAGUUCCGCAUGGUCAAGCUGAGCAAAAAGGAGCAGUUCAUCGUGGCCUACGGCGGCCUGCGAGGCGCCGUCGCCUUCUCGCUGGGCUUCCUGCUGACCGACAGCGAGAUCAAGCACUUGUUCCUCACCGCCAUCAUCACCGUCAUCUUCUUCACCGUCUUCGUCCAGGGGAUGACCAUCAGGCCUCUGGUGGAGCUUCUGGAAGUGAAGAAGAAGAGAGAGUGCGACGGCUCCAUCAACGAGGAGAUUCACACGCAGUUCCUGGAUCAUCUCCUUGUGGGAAUCGAGGACAUCUGCGGUCAUUACGGACACCAUCACUGGAAAGACAAGCUGAGCCGCUUCAACGAGGCCUACGUGAAGAAGUGGCUGAUUGCGGGCGAUCGCUCCAGCGAGCCGCAGCUGCUGUCCUUCUACAACAAGAUGGAGAUGAAGCAGGCCAUGAUGAUGGUCGAGAGCGGCGGCGGCGGCUUCAAACCGCCUUCCGUGGAGCCGAAUAUCGAAGCCGGACGCGGGACCCGCGUCUCCGAUCGUCGCCAGAAGGAAAUCCGAAAGAUGCUGCAGGCCAACGUGCAGAAGAACAGACAGCGGCUUCGUUCCUACAGCCGACACGACCUGAUGCUCGACCCGUUCGAAGACGACGUGAGCGAGGUUCGCUUCAGGAAGCAGCAAGUGGCGAUGGAGAGGAGGGUGAGUGCGCACCAACGGCCUGAAAAACAAAUAGGGUCACUUCCUCCCCCUAAAAGCGACGCUGGCGAUUGGCUCUCUCCGGUCAGGUGCCAUUCUGACAACGUCGUCUCAAACGUGACAUAUUUUUCCAAAUAUGACCUCGAAGCGUGACACUUUUGAACCUGGACCUUGGAGCAGUUUUGCAUGGAAUGUUCACCUAUCAAAAUUGGGAACAUCUGUCAUUAGGCUGUGCACGGAAAAUGCAACAAAAACAUUUGUAUCAUUUAGGCUUGAUCAUCUUUUGUUCCUAGUUUGCCAUUAGUGUAAAGAACAAAUAUGUGGUUAGUGCCAAAAGAAUGACGUGUGCUUUGGAUGGGCUUUUUUCAAAAGAAAGAAAAGUCAUCCAAAGGUAAAUCAAAUGUCAGGACUUCUCUGACGUCGAGUAAGUCAUUCCGUGAAAACGAAUGCUUUGCAUCGUACAGAUGAGCCACUACCUGACAGUGCCCGCAAAAAGCCCGCCAGCGCCGGCGUCUGUGAGACGGGUCGCCUUCCGACCAGAACACCGAGUUUACACGUACGACGACAGCCGGAGCGCCCGAGACCCGGCGGGGGCCCGGCCGGACCCGAGCU